AUUGAUGAGAAGAUAUCAUUGGAAAGUCUCCAGAAACUCAAGCUAACUUUUGAGGUACUGAGAGAAUUGUUAUAAAAAUAUCAUAUUUUGAGAUUUAACUAUAUGUUUUUUUCUAAAGGAAUAUGAAGCGAAAGGCUUAAGAUGCAUUGAUGAGGGAGCUUUUGGACACGCGCUGAAGACGUGUUUUGGUUUGUCUAACACGGUGAGACAGCAUGGCAUUUGUCUUCACAUCUUUUCCCCUCUUAAUGUUCUCACUAACUGACCUUUCCUCAGCUAAAUAUAAUUCUUCAUUAAUUAGAAAAAAGUGUCAUUGUCCUCGUUUGUCUUUUGGAUUUCACAGAGCAAUGAACAGAUUCAUGGAUUAUUUAAGAAGAUUGAUUAUUUAGAUCAAGGAAAGAUUUCUUGGGCUGACUUCUGCACACAUAUUCUGCACGAGUAUCACGAAAAGGAAGAAAUUGUCAAGCGCAGCAAGCAAGUGGCCUUCGCUCAACCGGCCAAAGUGAAAACUCUUAGUCAUGAUUUUCCCAUUGUCAACAUCCACUCCACCCAUGAUGGCAGCGUGUUCACGGUCAGAGAAGAUGGGCUCGUUUGUCACUGGAGCGCUGAACUUAAACUACAGAAGAGCAAACAGAUCUUUAAUGAAGGAUCUGCUGGUAGAAAGUCAAGGUGGGCAACUGAUUCCACACUAAUGGAGGAAUACAAAAAGCUCAUUAUUGGAACCGGGUACUGGAAAAAUCCAAUCCACAAAAUAACCUUUAAUAAUCCUCUAAUUACAAUGAUUCAUUUAAAUUGUUUGUUUACUCCCAUAUUUAUAUUUCAGGAGCAAAGAGAUCCAGUUUUAUGAACUUUCAACUUUAAAACCUUGUUGUCAAAUAAGCGCUCUGGCCUCAAUUCCUCUGACUGUGGACUGCAGGUGGGUCGAUGUUCUGCAUCAUCUCUGACAAACACCUGUGUGUUCGAUGCUCCUAAUGGGUUUUUUAUCCCUCCACGCCAAAGCUCUACUGGCCCUGAUAAAUGUUGUGUGCUAUAUGGAGACACUGAGGUAGGUCCUUUGUCUGGAAUUAAUCAAAGGAACAGAAAAUGUUAAGGCUGAAGCAGUGACAUGAGUUGAUUUUGUGUUGCAGGGAUGUGUGAACAUCUUUUUCAUAUCUGCUGUUAAACAGACAUUCAGGUAAUGAUGCUUUAUGUUCAACUGCAAAAAUCAGAAAUAAAUCAAGAAUUUUAAAACUUUCUUAAAACAAUUAUCAUUUAAUUAAUGAAAUUAAUUUUUGAUCAUUGGAUUUAUCGUCAAUGAAAACAAUCAUUUUUUCAAAUAAUCAAACGGAUUGUAAAAAAGAAUUUAAAAACAAACAAGAAGCAAAUGUGAAAAAAAUAGUUUGCAAAACAUCAAGGCUUAGUGUUACAGACACAUAUAUAUAUUAAAAUAGUUGGCAAAUUUUCUUUAAAAGGAUUUUUUGGUGCAAAAAAUGAGAAGUAAAAAUUGACAAGAAAAACAGAAAUUUGGGGUAAAAGUCAAAAAUAGGAAAUGUUUCUCCUUAAGAUUCUAAAGCAAGA
ensembl:lncRNA